UACAGAGGUCUCAAGCGUUGUUCGGAAUCACUGGGCGUAAAGGGUGCGUAGGCCGCACGGUAAGUCAGAGGUGAAAUCCCGGAGCUCAACUCCGGAAAUGCCUCCGAUACUGCCGUGCUCGAGGACUGGAGAGGAGUCUGGAAUUCACAGUGGAGCAGUGAAAUGCGUAGAUAUUGUGAGGAAGACCAGUGGCGAAGGCGGGUCUCUGGACAGUUCCUGACGCUGAGGCACGAAGGUCAGGGGAGCAAACGGG
rnacentral:rRNA from 1 species